rnacentral:rRNA from 1 species
GACGAACGCUGGCGGCGUGCUUAACACAUGCAAGUCGAACGGUGAAGCGCCUUCCUUUUGGUGGGUGUGGAUGAGUGGCGAACGGGUGAGUAACACGUGAGUAACCUGCCCCCUUCUUCUGGAUAACCGCAUGAAAGUGUGGCUAAUACGGGAUAUUCUGGGUCUGUCGCAUGAUGGGUCUGGGAAAGAUAUUGUUUCGGUGGGGGAUGGGCUCGCGGCCUAUCAGCUUGUUGGUGGGGUGAUGGCCUACCAAGGCGGUGACGGGUAGCCGGCCUGAGAGGGUGGACGGUCACACUGGGACUGAGACACGGCCCAGACUCCUACGGGAGGCAGCAGUGGGGAAUAUUGCACAAUGGGCGCAAGCCUGAUGCAGCGACGCCGCGUGAGGGAUGGAGGCCUGCGGGUUGUGAACCUCUUUCGCCAGUGAAGCAGGCCUGCCUCGUUUGUGGGUGGGUUGACGGUAGCUGGAUAAGAAGCGCCGGCUAACUACGUG